UGGGGAAUAUUGGACAAUGGGCGCAAGCCUGAUCCAGCCAUGCCGCGUGAGUGAUGAAGGCCUUAGGGUUGUAAAGCUCUUUCGGCGGGGACGAUAAUGACGGUACCCGCAGAAGAAGCCCCGGCUAACUUCGUGCCAGCAGCCGCGGUAAUACGAAGGGGGCUAGCGUUGCUCGGAAUCACUGGGCGUAAAGGGCGCGUAGGCGGACAUUUAAGUCGGGGGUGAAAGCCCAGGGCUCAACCCUGGAAUUGCCUCCGAUACUGGGUGUCUCGAGACCGGAAGAGGUGAGUGGAACUGCGAGUGUAGAGGUGAAAUUCGUAGAUAUUCGCAAGAACACCAGUGGCGAAGGCGGCUCACUGGUCCGGUUCUGACGCUGAGGCGCGAAAGCGUGGGGAGCAAACAGGAUUAGAUACCCUGGUAGUCCACGCCGUAAACGAUGGAUGCUAGCCGUUGGCAGGCUUGCCUGUCAGUGGCGCAGCUAACGCUUUAAGCAUCCCGCCUAGGGAGUACGGCCGCAAGGUUAAAACUUAAAGGAAUUGACGGGGUCAUAGCUGUUUCCU
rnacentral:rRNA from 1 species